rnacentral:rRNA from 1 species
GAUGAACGCUGGCGGCGUGCUUAACACAUGCAAGUCGAACGGUGAAGCAGGAGCUUGCUCUUGUGGAUCAGUGGCGAACGGGUGAGUAACACGUGAGCAACCUGCCCCUGACUCUGGGAUAAGCGCUGGAAACGGCGUCUAAUACUGGAUAUGUGAUGUGACCGCAUGGUCUGCAUCUGGAAAGAAUUUCGGUUGGGGAUGGGCGCGCGGCCUAUCAGCUUGUUGGUGAGGUAAUGGCUCACCAAGGCGUCGAUGGGUAGCCGGCCUGAGAGGGGGACCGGCCACACUGGGACUGAGACACGGCCCAGACUCCUACGGGAGGCAGCAGUGGGGAAUAUCGCACAAUGGGCGGAAGCCUGAUGCAGCAACGCCGCGUGAGGGAUGACGGCCUUCGGGUUGUAAACCUCUUUUAGCAGGGAAGAAGCGAAAGUGACGGUACCUGCAGAAAAAGCACCGGCUAACUACGUGCCAGCCGCCGCGGUAA